GCAGUCGAGCGCACCCUUCGGGGCGAGCGGCGGACGGGUUAGUAACGCGUGGGAACAUACCCUUUUCUAUGGAAUAGCCUUUGGAAACGAAGAGUAAUACCAUAUACGCCCUACGGGGGAAAGAUUUAUCGGAGAAGGAUUGGCCCGCGUAAGAUUAGAUAGUUGGUGGGGUAAUGGCCUACCAAGUCUACGAUCUUUAGCUGGUUUUAGAGGAUGAUCAGCAACACUGGGACUGAGACACGGCCCAGACUCCUACGGGAGGCAGCAGUGGGGAAUCUUAGACAAUGGGCGCAAGCCUGAUCUAGCCAUGCCGCGUGUGUGAUGAAGGCCUUAGGGUCGUAAAGCACUUUCGCCAGAGAUGAUAAUGACAGUAUCUGGUAAAGAAACCCCGGCUAACUCCGUGCCAGCAGCCGCGGUAAUACGGAGGGGGUUAGCGUUGUUCGGAAUUACUGGGCGUAAAGCGUACGUAGGCGGAUCAGAAAGUAGGGGGUGAAAUCCCGAGGCUCAACCUCGGAACUGCCUCCUAAACUCCUGGUCUUGAGUUCGAGAGAGGUGAGUGGAAUUCCAAGUGUAGAGGUGAAAUUCGUAGAUAUUUGGAGGAACACCAGUGGCGAAGGCGGCU
rnacentral:rRNA from 1 species